GGAAUAUUGGGCAAUGGGGGAAACCCUGACCCAGCAACGCCGCGUGAAGGAAGAAGGCUUUCGGGUUGUAAACUUCUUUUACCAGGGACGAAGGACGUGACGGUACCUGGAGAAAAAGCCACGGCUAACUACGUGCCAGCAGCCGCGGUAAUACGUAGGUGGCAAGCGUUGUCCGGAUUUACUGGGUGUAAAGGGCGUGUAGGCGGAGAUGCAAGUCAGAAGUGAAAUGCAGGGGUUUAACCCCUGAACUGCUUUUGAAACUGUAUCCCUUGAGUAUCGGAGAGGCAGGCGGAAUUCCUAGUGUAGCGGUGAAAUGCAUAGAUAUUAGGAGGAACACCAGUGGCGAAGGCGGCCUGCUGGACGACAACUGACGCUGAGGCGCGAAAGCGUGGGGAGCAAACA
rnacentral:rRNA from 1 species